rnacentral:misc_RNA from 1 species
UCAACCAUCAAGCCUGGCUUAUUGUUGGACUUUACUGCUGAAACAUGUGGUAGGUCCGAAAAAUAAUGACAGUGUCAUGUUUGACCCUAGAUGCAACGAGCUUGUUUUAUAGCACGCAUUGAAGUGGUCAACUGGCCUGGUCUUAACCAUCAUUUUCUAAGG